GGACGUGGUGGAGGCCAGUAAUCUGAGGUUCGAUUCGAUUGGGUUGGUGGGAAGAGACGAGGAGACGGCCAUUCUUUCGGGGUGUUUGGGACGAUUGAUGACGGGACGUUCGUCUCGAGAAUUGGUGUUCAUCAAGGGAGAACCGGGAAGCGGCAAAACUGCCUUGUCG
rnacentral:SRP_RNA from 1 species